AACGCAUAUUGCGCUCCUCGGCAUUCCGAGGAGCAUGCCUGUUUGAUGCGCGCAUGAAAUCAACUUGUGUUAGGGCGUGUUUUUUUAUCAUUCGCGCUUUUCCGCACUGUUGCUUUUGAGCUUUCUCACACCUGUGAGUAGUUCCAAGAUCGUGUCAUCACAGAAUUUGAGGGGUAGCAGCGCCUUUGGAGACGGUUCAUUUGACUUGGUCAGCCGACGCCGAUUGCAUUUCAACCCACCCAAGUGAUAAUAUUGAGUUCGAUUUCGAACGCUCUUUGUCGCGCGGAUGGACGCAUUCGAACGCCGUGGGACUUUGAGUCUGAAACGUUCGCCUCAGGUUCGCAACGCAUCCCAGUGAAUCCAAUCUUUUGUUGGAUUCGUCAAAAUCUGCAUCAAAUCAGGUAGGGUUACCCGCUGAACUUAA
rnacentral:misc_RNA from 1 species